rnacentral:rRNA from 1 species
AAUAUUGGACAAUGGGGGCAACCCUGAUCCAGCCAUGCCGCGUGUGUGAAGAAGGUUUUCGGAUCGUAAAGCUCUGUUGUAAGGGAAGAACACGUACGGGAGUCACUGCCCGUACCUUGACGGUACCUUAUCAGAAAGCCACGGCUAACUACGUGCCAGCAGCCGCGGUAAUACGUAGGUGGCAAGCGUUGUCCGGAAUUAUUGGGCGUAAAGCGCGCGCAGGCGGUCCUUUAAGUCUGAUGUGAAAGCCCACGGCUCAACCGUGGAGGGUCAUUGGAAACUGGAGGACUUGAGUACAGAAGAGGAAAGCGGAAUUCCACGUGUAGCGGUGAAAUGCGUAGAGAUGUGGAGGAACACCAGUGGCGAAGGCGGCUUUCUGGUCUGUAACUGACGCUGAGGCGCGAAAGCGUGGGGAGCAAACAG